AUGUAAAUGGGCUAUUCCAUUUAAUAUCCGUACCCCCCUGUCGAGGAUCCCUGGAAUUCUUCAGGGGUAAAGGGUUUUGAGCUUGGAAUUCUUCAGGGGUAAAGUGUUUUGAGCUUGGAAUUCUUCAGGGGUAAAGUGUUUUGAGUUUGGAAUUCUUCAGGGGUAAAGGGUUUUGAGCUUGGAAUUCUUCAGGGGGGAAGGGUUUUGAGCUUGGAAUUCUUCAGGGGUAAAGAGGUUUGACUUUGAAAUUUUUCAGAGCUUGGAAUUCUUCAGGGCUGAAGGGUUUUCAGCUUGGAAUUCUUCAAGGGUAAAAGGUUUUGAGCUUGGAAUUCUUCAGGGGUAAAGGAUUUUGAGCUUGGAAUUCUUCAGGGGUAAAGGGUUUUGAGCUUGGAAUUCUUCAGGGGUAAAGGGUUUUGAGUUUGGAAUUCUUCAGGGGUAAAGAGGUUUGACUUUGAAAUUUUUCAGAGCUUGGAAUUCUUCAGGGGUAAAGGGUUUUCAGCUCGGAAUUCUUCAGGGGUAAAAGGUUUUGAGCUUGGAAUUUUUCAGGGGUAAAGGGUUUUGAGCUUGGAAUUCUUUAGGGGUAAAGGGUUUUGAGCUUGGAAUUCUUCAGGGGUAAAAGGUUUUGAGCUUGGAAUUCUUCAGGGGUAAAGGGUUUUGAGCUUGGAAUUUUGGAAUUCUUCAGGGGUAAAAGGUUUUGAGCUUGGAAUUCUUCAGGGGUAAAGGAUUUUGAGCUUGGAAUUUUGGAAUUCUUCAGGGGUAAAAGUUUUGAGCUUGGAAUUCUUCAGGGGUAUAACCAUGAAAACCAUGUAUCCUCGACAGGGGGUGCACGGAUAUUAAAUGGAAUAGCCCAAU